rnacentral:rRNA from 1 species
UACGGAGGGUGCAAGCGUUAUCCGGAUUUAUUGGGUUUAAAGGGUCCGUAGGCGGACUGGUAAGUCAGCGGUGAAAUCUCAUAGCUUAACUAUGAAACUGCCGUUGAUACUGUCAGUCUUGAGUGUAUUUGAAGUAGCUGGAAUGAGUAGUGUAGCGGUGAAAUGCAUAGAUAUUACUCAGAACACCAAUUGCGAAGGCAGGUUACUAAGAUACAACUGACGCUGAUGGACGAAAGCGUGGGUAGCGAAC